CUCCACCCGUUGUGGUGCUCCCCCGCCAAUUCCUUUAAGUUUCAGCCUUGCGGCCGUACUUCCCAGGUGGCUCGCUUCACGGCUUCCCUACGGCACCGACAACGGUCGCACCGUGGCCGACACCUAGCGAGUAUCGUUUACGGCUAGGACUACCCGGGUAUCUAAUCCGGUUCGUGCCCCUAGCUUUCGUCCCUUGCCGUCAGGUCCGUUCUGGUGAGACGCCUUCGCCACUGGUGGUCCUUCAAGGAUUACAAGAUUUCACCCCUACCCCUGAAGUACCUCUCACCUCUCCCGGCCUCGAGCCGAACAGUAUCUCCUGAAAGCCCAACAGUUGAGCUGCUGGAUUUCUCAAGAGACUUAUCCGGCCGGCUACAGACCCUUUAGACCCAAUAAUAACGGUUACCACUCGAGCCGCCGGUGUUACCGCGGCGGCUGGCACCGGUCUUGCCCGGCCCUUGCUAUGCAAUGCUUUUUAGGCAUCACGACAGCCAGAUUUGUAACCUGGCACUCGAGGUCCCCUU
rnacentral:rRNA from 1 species